UAGUUAUAGUCUUGAAACUCAAAGAAUUUGGCGGUGUUUUAGUCUAUUCAGAGGAAUCUGUCCUAUAAUCGACAAUACACGAAAUAUUUUACUUAAUUUUGUAAUCAGUUUGUAUACCGCCGUCAUCAGAUUAUCUUUUUAGAGUUAAUAAUCAGGAAUCUCAGGUGGAAGAAUGUCAGGUCAAGGUGCAGUUUAUAAUUAAGGGGGAGAUGGAUUACAAUAAAUAAAUAAAUUUAUACGGAAAUUAAUAUGAAAAAUUAAUAGAAGGUGGAUUUGAUAGUAAGGUUAUAUUUAGUAACUUGAUUUUUAGCUCUAAAACAUGUACAUAUCGCCCGUCGCUCUCGUUAUUAAGGUGAGAUAAGUCGUAACAAAGUAGGUGUACUGGAAAGUGUACCUAGAAAGU
rnacentral:rRNA from 1 species